UCCUACGGGGGGCAGCAGUGGGGGAUAUUGCACAAUGGGGGAAACCCUGAUGCAGCGACGCCGCGUGGGUGAAGAAGCGCCUCGGCGCGUAAAGCCCUGUCAGCAGGGAAGAAAAUGACGGUACCUGACUAAGAAGCCCCGGCUAACUACGUGCCAGCAGCCGCGGUAAUACGUAGGGGGCAAGCGUUAUCCGGAUUUACUGGGUGUAAAGGGAGCGUAGACGGCGAUGCAAGUCUGAAGUGAAAGGCGGGGGCCCAACCCCCGGACUGCUUUGGAAACUGGAUGGCUGGAGGGCAG
rnacentral:rRNA from 1 species